rnacentral:rRNA from 1 species
AAAUUGAAGAGUUUGAUCAUGGCUCAGAUUGAACGCUGGCGGCAGGCCUAACACAUGCAAGUCGAGCGGUAGCACAGAGAGCUUGCUCUCGGGUGACGAGCGGCGGACGGGUGAGUAAUGUCUGGGAAACUGCCUGAUGGAGGGGGAUAACUACUGGAAACGGUAGCUAAUACCGCAUAACGUCGCAAGACCAAAGUGGGGGACCUUCGGGCCUCAUGCCAUCAGAUGUGCCCAGAUGGGAUUAGCUAGUAGGUGGGGUAACGGCUCACCUAGGCGACGAUCCCUAGCUGGUCUGAGAGGAUGACCAGCCACACUGGAACUGAGACACGGUCCAGACUCCUACGGGAGGCAGCAGUGGGGAAUAUUGCACAAUGGGCGCAAGCCUGAUGCAGCCAUGCCGCGUGUGUGAAGAAGGCCUUCGGGUUGUAAAGCACUUUCAGCGGGGAGGAAGGCGUUAAGGUUAAUAACCUCAUCGAUUGACGUUACCCGCAGAAGAAGCACCGGCUAACUCCGUGCCAGCAGCCGCGGUAAUACGGAGGGUGCAAGCGUUAAUCGGAAUUACUGGGCGUAAAGCGCACGCAGGCGGUCUGUCAAGUCGGAUGUGAAAUCCCCGGGCUCAACCUGGGAACUGCAUUCGAAA